rnacentral:rRNA from 1 species
UGCAGUGGGUACGGGCAGACUAGAGUGCGGUAGGGGAGAUUGGAAUUCCUGGUGUAGCGGUGGAAUGCGCAGAUAUCAGGAGGAACACCGAUGGCGAAGGCAGAUCUCUGGGCCGUAACUGACGCUGAGGAGCGAAAGCAUGGGGAGCGAACAGGAUUAGAUACCCUGGUAGUCCAUGCCGUAAACGUUGGGAACUAGAUGUGGGGACCAUUCCACGGUCUCCGUGUCGCAGCUAACGCAUUAAGUUCCCCGCCUGGGGAGUACGGCCGCAAGGCUAAAACUCAAAGGAAUUGACGGGGGCCCGCACAAGCGGCGGAGCAUGCGGAUUAAUUCGAUGCAACGCGAAGAACCUUACCAAGGCUUGACAUAUACCGGAAACGGCCAGAGAUGGUCGCCCCGCAAGGUCGGUAUACAGGUGGUGCAUGGUUGUCGUCAGCUCGUGUCGUGAGAUGUUGGGUUAAGUCCCGCAACGAGCGCAACCCUCGUUCUAUGUUGCCAGCACGUUAUGGUGGGAACUCAUAGGAGACUGCCGGGGUCAACUCGGAGGAAGGUGGGGAUGACGUCAAAUCAUCAUGCCCCUUAUGUCUUGGGCUUCACGCAUGCUACAAUGGCCGGUACAAAGGGCUGCGAUACCGUAAGGUGGAGCGAAUCCCAAAAAGCCGGUCUCAGUUCGGAUUGAGGUCUGCAACUCGACCUCAUGAAGUCGGAGUCGCUAGUAAUCGCAGAUCAGCAACGCUGCGGUGAAUACGUUCCCGGGCCUUGUACACACCGCCCGUCAAGUCAUGAAAGUCGGUAACACCCGAAGCCAGUGGCCUAACCCCUUGUGGGAUGGAGCUGUCGAAGGUGGGAUCGGUGAUUAGGACUAAGUC